rnacentral:rRNA from 1 species
UACGAAGGGAGCUAGCGUUACUCGGAAUUAUUGGGCGUAAAGCGUGCGUAGGCGGUUAUAUAAGUCGGGAGUGAAAGCCUGAGGAUCAACCUCAGAAUUGGUUUCGAUACUGUUUUACUUGAGUGUCAGAGGGGAUAGUGGAAUUCCUAGUGUAGAGGUGAAAUUCGUAGAUAUUAGGAGGAACACCGGUGGCGAAGGCGACUAUCUGGCUGACAACUGACGCUGUUGCACUAAAGCGUGGGGAGCAAACAGG